AACACUGACUACUGUUUGUGAUGUGGAAACCAAAAACAAAGGUCCUGUGAGAGCCUCCACUUCAAACAAGAGUUUAAACCAGACAUUUGCAACAUUCAAUGUUCAAUUCUUCUGUUUACCAAAUUUAAGCUUUUUCUCAAUGCAACUAAAACUGUAUUAUUAUGAUUUUAAACAACUAAAAAGCUCAUUAAAAAAUACUAAAACUCCAUACACAUCCAGCAUCACAAUGUUAAGCUAAUAUUUUAUACAGUAUUCCAAAGCAUUUUAGCUAUAAAGUAUUUGUAGAUGGAGGUACCAAGCAAAGACAUAAUAAAUUUUUUAGUAGAUAAUAAGCCAAAAACGGCCUAACCUACUUUUUAAAAUGUUUUAUUAUUUUGCUACAGAUAGUAGAUAGUAGUGUGGAAAAUUGAGAGAGGGACGCUAAAGAAUUAAUUCGUUAUCACGACAAAACUUUUUUUUUUUUUCUUGUGAUAAUGGAGGUAAAAAAAAGAAAAAAAAAGUAGGGUAAAUUAUUUUUGGCUUAUGUAUGCUAGCACACAGAAUACAUACCAAAAGAAAAAUAGUGAAGCAUGAAAAAUGUAAAGAAUGGACAAUAACAAUUCAGCCAGAGAUCCACUAAAAACUGGUUGUGCAAAUAUAUAUAUAUAUAUAAAGAUGCUCAUAAAAGAUAAGACUUAGGGUUUGUUUUUAUUUAGGUGUUAAAAACCUAAAAUGUAAGCCUUGAUUUAAACCCUGAUUGAUAGGUUAUGGAGCAGAGGUCAUGUGGUGAAGAGUUCCAGAGGAGAUCACCUGCUGAAAACUCAACCCCAUAGUGGAAAGACGAGCAGAAGGAGAAGAUCAAGAGGACUUCAGGACACAAAUAUCCUUGAUUUUCUAGUUAAUAAUUGCUUGGAGGAAGCAGAAGCGACGACCCUGUUGUUGAAUAGGAGAAACAGGUGUACAAACAGGAAAGACGUGCGUCCUGUCGUAUUGUCCGACUGUAAUCCACCACAGCAGAAGACAAAUCACCUCUGAGCUCUGCAGUCAUCAUGUGUGGAGAUGGAAUGGCACCAUCGAUUGCAGUGCUUAACUGUGGGAAAGGAUUAUGUAAAUUUCCCAACAAUUGGACACAGAUACAGGGGAUUAUGGGAGUCGGUUGGAGUUUUGCUCUAAUUUAUGAUGGAGAAAUACCUCAAGAAAGAUUGAAUUCAGAGGAAAACAUGUGUCUUCUGCUCCGUGGAUUCUAUUAUUAACACAGAAUGUCUCUGCUAACACCGGGUUUGUGUUGUUACUAGUUACUCUUUGUGUUCUUUAGAGUGUGUAUCUGCAUGUGGGUAAAGUUAGCCUUAGUUACAGUAAAUAAAGUCUACCACCUUGUUAGACUUGUUUAUACCACGCUUACUGUUUUCAAGUGUGUUAAUAAUUUUUAUUAAUGUAACCAUAUUUCAAAUGAAAAAUGCAAAAAUGUGGGGAAAUAAUCAAAUAAGUUAGGAUUUAAUCACACUGAAUCUGUUUUACAUAUAUUUAAAUGUUUAAAUGUCAAGUUUGAGCUACGGUUUACCUGGCGUUCACAAACACAUCAUCGAAUGUUUAUAUCCAAGUUAUCAUUUUUGUCUCACAAACUAGUUUGAUAGAUUGGAAAACUGACGUCAAGAACAGUUUAAGACAGGAUGGGCAAACUUUUAGACUUGUGGGCCACAAGGGGCUCGAAAACAUGACAGAAGGGCUGGACCAAAAGUAGAUUUGUGGAGUGUUUUUGUAAUCCACCAAAGAGAUGAAUUUGGAUGAAAACUCGUCUUUGCAUUUCAAAAAUGUGUGGCUUUUUCUCUCAUUUUAGAGCCUAUUG